rnacentral:rRNA from 1 species
GACGAACGCUGGCGGCGUGCUUAACACAUGCAAGUCGAACGGAAAGGCCCUGCUUUUGUGGGGUGCUCGAGUGGCGAACGGGUGAGUAACACGUGAGUAACCUGCCCUUGACUUUGGGAUAACUUCAGGAAACUGGGGCUAAUACCGGAUAGGAGCUCCUGCUGCAUGGUGGGGGUUGGAAAGUUUCGGCGGUUGGGGAUGGACUCGCGGCUUAUCAGCUUGUUGGUGGGGUAGUGGCUUACCAAGGCUUUGACGGGUAGCCGGCAUGAGAGGGUGACCGGCCACAUUGGUACUGAGGUACGGCCCAGAAUCCUACGGGAGGCAGCAGUGGGGAAUAUUGCACAAUGGGCGGAAGCCUGAUGCAGCAACGCCGCGUGCGGGAUGACGGCCUUCGGGUUGUAAACCGCUUUCGCCUGUGACGAAGCGUGAGUGACGGUAAUGGGUAAAGAAGCACCGGCUAACUACGUG